GCAUCGGUGGUUCAGUGGUAGAAUGCUCGCCUGUCACGCGGCCACCCCGGGUUCAAUUCUCGGCCGAUGCA
rnacentral:tRNA from 1 species